AUUUUGGUUUACAAUGUAUUUUAUUGUGAACAAAUCUGGGGUUGGUAUACAUCCCUUCACAACCUGACAUCAAUCUUACAGCAAAGACAGUAAUAAAACCUUUACAAUAAAUAGCUUAUUCCAGUCACACAGUUACAUGUUCUAGAUCAACUUAAAUAAUACAUACAAAAAUAUAAAUGCAUAAAGUUUGUAAAAAUUGAUAUUAUGAAUGAACAAAAAACAUUUUUAUCCACAAUGAAUUGCCAGAUAAAAAACAA